rnacentral:tRNA from 1 species
CGGGUGUAGCUCAGUUGGUAGAGCAUCAGCCUUCCAAGCUGAGGGUCGCGGGUUCGAGUCUCGUCGCCC